GAUAGAGUUGAUGUGGGGGUCAAGUGAAAUCACAAAUAGAACAAAUACUUGUAAUAUUUCACUAUGUUGAAUUGUUUCAAGAUAAAUUUAAGUCCUUAAAAAUUUAAAAAGAAUUUGAGAGGGCUGAGGAUGUAACUCAGUGGUAGAGUGCUUGCCUGCAUGCUUAAGGCCCUGGGUUCAAGCCCAACUCUGCAGUCAACCAGUCAAUCAAUACAUGAUUCAACCAGCUAAGUGCAAAGGUAUGAGAUAGUUUUAAUAUUAUCAGUAUUUCUGAGUUGUGGACUGUAGUCACUUUCCUACUCUGCCACUUAGCUGUGUUCUUAUGUAGCUUUAGGCAGACAACUCUGAAUGUCAUGCUUCAUAUUGGUCUUCCAUGAGGGGAUAAAGGCACAGUAACCUGGCAAUUUUACCUACUGUUCCAUGCAUCUCUCCAGCUCUUUCUUACCUCCCAAAAACAUUUGAUUCAUGCCUUGAGCAUUCAGUGUACUCCUGUACUUAGUAGUUGGGGUGGCAAACCAAGUAUAUCUCUGUGCAAACUCAGGACGAAUCUCUGCUUUACAGUCAGAAGUGAACAGGUAUUCACCUCCCUCUUAGCUGAAAAUGGUCCUUUUCUCAAUAGCCAUCUCAAGCUGUUCCUGAGAUCCACUUGGCAUAAAUAACAAUGUCUUGGGAAGUUUUUUGAAGGAAUCAAAAUGGACCAUAAAAAUAAGAUUCAUUUUUUCCUACAAUACUGCUGGUAUAGACUGCUUGGAGUAGUUUGUAAUUGCUAGACUGACUUUGUGGUAGGGUUACACUAAAAAAACACAUGUAACAUUAACCUCUGGGUACAAAGAUAUUCACUGAAGCAUUGUUUG
rnacentral:lncRNA from 1 species